rnacentral:rRNA from 1 species
GGCCUUUUGUUUAUGAUUUAAGGUCUUGCCUGCCCAAUGAUGUAAAAGUUAAAUGGCCGCAGUAUACUGACUGUGCAAAGGUAGCAUAAUCACUAGUUUUUUAAUUGAAAGCUUGUAUGAAAGGUUUGAUGAGAAAAAGACUGUCUCUAAUUAAAAUUUUAGAAAUUUAUUUUUAAGUUAAAAAGCUUAAAUUUUUAUUGAAGACGAGAAGACCCUAUAGAGUUUUAUUUAUAUAGUAAUAAAUGAAAUUUAGUAUUUAAAGUUUUAUUAUUAUAUGAAUUUGGUUGGGGUGAUUGAAAAAUUUAUAAAACUUUUUUUGUAUUUUUACAUUUAUUUAUGAGUAUUUGAUCCUUAAAAAGAUUAUAAGAUAAAAUUACCUUAGGGAUAACAGCGUAAUUUUUCUUAGAGUUCUUAUCGAAAGAAGAGAUUGCGACCUCGAUGUUGGAUUAAAAUUAAAUUUUUGGUGUAGAAGCUAAUAAAUUAGGUCUGUUCGACCUUUAAAUUUUUACAUGAUCUGAGUUUAAACCGGCGUAAG